GCUUUGGGUGUGUCUGGGGGAAUUUCCGAAGGCAUGAUAAAUGACGAACAUUAUACAUGCAUAGCAGCAAAAUUUUCACACCCUGCAUAAAGAUCCACUGUAUGAGUACCAAAAAACUGAUACUCACCAUGCAAGAAACCACCACAGUGUGUAGCCUAAACUGCAUCCAGAACGACAGCCUACAAAAUCAUGUAGUUUAAAGUGUUGAUGCAUCCUCAACACACAGUCAAUGACGAGGACUUCAGUUUCUACAGUAAUCUGCUGUUUUAUAAAACCUAAAUCAUAAUCCCUAAAUUGGAAUUCUAAAGAAAAUAUUAUAGAAGCUACCAUGAUAGAUCGGACGAUAUCCUCUGCGAUAUUUCCCUCUUCGAAGGAUGCCAUUGAUGCCACCACAUGGGUUACAUUUCAACUUGCGAGGUGGCUAUGAUGUGCGAUCUGAGCUUGCAACAUUGAGCGAAAAUUUCAAAGCUGCUUGAUCCGACAAUUACCAUGAAAUCGCACUGCAGAGAGCAUCAGGUAAUCGCAAUGUGAUCCAUGAAAGCAGUUGACAACUACAGCUCGAUGUGUACUAAGUUAACCACAGUGGGAAGGGUACAAUGAAAAGCAACACUUCGUCAGGGCGGGGGAACGAUGAAGCUCCGCGAUUUUCGGUAGUUGUAUCCGCACAGGAAAACAAUGGCGAAUU
rnacentral:lncRNA from 1 species